ACGAGAGGACCGUGUUGGACAGACCUCCGGUGCACCGGUUGUUCCGCCGAGGAGCACAGCCGGGUAGCCGCGUCUGGGCAGGAUAAGUGCUGAAAGCAUCUAAGCACGAAGCCGGCUCCGAGAUAAGAUCUCGCUGAGGGCCGUCGAAGACGACGACGUCGAUAGGCCGCAGGUGCAAGCGUGGUGACGCGCUCAGCCGAGCGGUACUAAUUGCCCGAGACGUUCCG
rnacentral:rRNA from 1 species